GCUUCCCUCAGCUUCCUGCAAAUCCACUGACAAUUUUGUAAAUUUGUUUAAGGAUUAAAUGAAUAAGCUGCUCUUCCCUUGGCUCCCAUAGCUGUACAGAUUGAAGCUCCUGUGCCUUCUGAGGAGGAGCCACGUCAUGGCUCCUGUCCCUCUGGAGGCUGCUCUACCACAGGAAGACAAGCGCUGCUCCUAUCUUCACCGACUUCUCUCCCCAAAGAAACAGACAACCUGGUGGGAAAACAGCAUCACCCCAACUUGGAGCAGCUGGGAGGGACCUGGACCACCAUUCUGCCCCAGGCCCCUCUGCCAUUCUGCAGCCACCCGAGAGGGAGAUCUGACCGCUCCCACACGUACAGUUGCCGACGGUGAGCUCCAGCUCGAAGAGCCAGGAAGUCAAGGAGACCAGACCCUGAGCCCAGCGGCCGCCUGCAAACCUGUGGGCUUCCCCACACCCCAUGUAAGCAAGCUGUCUGGCCCUGGAGCUGGGGACUUGGAGAGGCCCCCACCCUCUUUCCAGUCUUCUCUCAUUGCAGUCUGAGCUAGUUGGACCUCUGAGCUUCACAAAGCACUUUGAAAUUCAUAAAAUGGAAAUUUAUUGAACAAGCCUUUGGAGAAGGGAAGUAAUGAAAACCGCUACAUAAAUUACGAGGCCACUGGUAUUACACAGCUGGAGCUAAUGCUGUUAGUCCCAGAAGGGGACCUAGCUCCACCCUCCUCUGCUGGCCUUCUGGAGGUCUGCUCCUGGGAGCCUGAGAGGAGCCCUAGGGAGAGAGAGAGACCUACCCUGGAGUUUAUCUGGGAGGGCCUGGGAGGCCAUAUGCCCUCUGCCCGGUCUCCAUUUCUGCAUCACUGCAGUGGAGGUAACAGCAACAUCUGU
rnacentral:lncRNA from 1 species